rnacentral:rRNA from 1 species
GGAUUAGAUACCCUGGUAGUCCACGCCGUAAACGAUGUCUACUAGAAGCUCGACUCUUCGGAGUUGUUUUUCAAAGCUAACGCAUUAAGUAGACCGCCUGGGGAGUACGGCCGCAAGGUUAAAACUCAAAUGAAUUGACGGGGGCCCGCACAAGCGGUGGAGCAUGUGGUUUAAUUCGAUGCAACGCGAAGAACCUUACCUACACUUGACAUACAGCGAACUUACUAGAGAUAGUUUGGUGCCUUCGGGAACGCUGAUACAGGUGCUGCAUGGCUGUCGUCAGCUCGUGUCG